GUUUGAUCCUGGCUCAGAGCGAACGUUAGCGGCGCGCCUAACACAUGCAAGUCGCACGAGAAAGGGCUUCGGCCCCGGUAAAGUGGCGCACGGGUGAGUAACACGUGGGCAACCUGCCCAACCCCUGGGGGAGUAACCUGCCGAAAGGCGGGCUAAUACCGCGUACGAGGGCUCGACUUCGGUCGGGUUCUGAAAGCAGGCCUCUGAAUUCAAGCUUGUGGGGUUGGAUGGGCCCGCGGUCCAUCAGCUAGUUGGUGAGGUAAUGGCUCACCAAGGCAACGACGGAUAGCUGGUCUGAGAGGAUGAUCAGCCACACUGGAACUGAGACACGGUCCAGACUCCUACGGGAGGCAGCAGUGGGGAAUCUUGCGCAAUGGACGAAAGUCUGACGCAGCGACGCCGCGUGGGUGACGAAGGCCUCGG
rnacentral:rRNA from 1 species